GCUUGCAAGAAUAUGGGAUGCUGAUCUUGGUAUACUCAAGUGGCUCGUGAGAUGAUUUAUUUGUUUUGGGCAUUAGUAUCAUAUUCAUUAACAAUUUUCUCAUGCCGCUUUGAUCAUGGACCUAAGCUUAUAUCAAAUGUAUAUUCUAUGAGUAUCGACAAACCUCAUUGUUAGUGUAAGGUCUACAUUCAAACAAAUCACACUAUGUGAAGGUAUUCACUUUGGUCGGUGUUUUAGUCUUAGACAACAUUAUUAUUAUAUUUCAAAGGGGCAUAGUUCAUAUUUCAGCCCGUGUGCAUUGUGGUUGGUACUAUUAUUGGUAUGCCAAGGAAGCCUGUAUAAGUUCAUUUGGUUUGUAAAAACCUAAAGACAAAACAUAUCAUUUCGAGGGUAUAUCAUAUGAUUGGUUAACAGUUGAGUUUCAAACCCUAGCCGCAGCCAAGCUAGGGCACGACCAUGGACGCAGGUUACUUCUCGAAACCCUAAUUGAAAACUCACGACCGCCACAACUCUUUUGCAUUUUCAGUUGUCUUGAGGAUGUACAUGGACUUCAAAAUUGAUACAGGUUCGAGCAUGGUUAUUAUGAAGAACAGUUGGUCAACAAAAUCUGUUUUUGCAGUUGUUAGAAAUCAGUUUGUUUUUGCAAAACUGUCAUCUUCAAAUUUCAUAUAUCCAGUUCACAGGAAAGCAAGGUGUGAAGUUUUUUUUAAUUUAAAAAAGGAUCUUUCAGCAAAGUGAAGAAAAACAAUUGCGCUUCAAAUGUUUAUAUUGUAAAUGAGAAAGAAAGUUUUUCAAAAGAUUCACUUCACCGUAUCAUUGUGUAUAUUUCCUAUAUGCACAACUAUAUUCUAUAAUUGAGAAAUCAUGUCCAUUGUAUGAUAUUGGUGUAUAUAUUCAAGUGUACACUCUGGUGUAUCGUGUGUGAAUAAGUUAAGAAAUGCUAUACCAUUGCUUCUGAAUCUCAAGUUGUGUGAGAUCAGAAGAUGAUAUGUAAUGAAGUAGAGAUUGAACUCUGUUUAUAAAAUUCAAGACAGUGAGGCACAUUUUGGUCAGUGAGACCUUCUUGCCAGUGAGGCAUUGUAACCAGUGAGGUUUUUGUUAUUAAGUCAGUAAGGCGUUUCGAGUGGUUUUUCUA